GUUUGCUCACUAUUAAAAUGAUUAAGUUUGGAUAUUGAUGAACAAUCAGUUCAACCUUAUGCUCGAGAAGGCUCUUCUUUUGAUGAUCUAUCAACUAAGGCUUAAGAAUGUUUUAUACUGAAAUAAACACAAGAGCUCGACCUCUUACUUGGGUUUCUGUUAAGUGUGCUCAACAGUCGGGCAGUACAGAAUGUGGGUAUUACGUGAUGAAGUUCAUGCAAGACAUA